rnacentral:rRNA from 1 species
AUUGCCCUAGUAACGGCGAGUGAAGCGGCAAAAGCUCAGAUUUGAAAUCUGGUGUCAAUUUGGCAUCCGAGUUGUAGUCUGUAGAGGUGUAUUCGAGUGUGGAUUUGGCUUAAGUUCCUUGGAACAGGACGUCAUAGAGGGUGAGAACCCCGUUAACGGCCUUUGUCUUAUGCUCAUGUGAAUCUCCUUCAACGAGUCGAGUUGUUUGGGAAUGCAGCUCUAAAUGGGUGGUAAAUUCCAUCUAAAGCUAAAUACUGGCAAGAGACCGAUAGCGCACAAGUAGAGUGAUCGAAAGAUGAAAAGAACUCUGAACAGAGAGUCAAAUAGUACGUGAAAUUGUUGAAAGGGAAGCACUUGCGACCAGACACACUUGCAGCCGAUCAAUUCUCAUUCUUGAGGGUGCACUCGGUUGUCUGUGGGUCAGCAUCAGUUAUAGCGGUGGGAAAAAGACCUGAGGAAUGUAGCUCCUUUCGGGGAGUGUUAUAGACUUGGGUGCAAUGCUGCCUGCUGUGACUGAGGACCGCGCUUCGGUGAGGAUGCUGGCAUAAUGGUCGUAAGUGACCCGUCUUGAAACACGGACCAAGGAGUCUAACAUCUAUGCGAGUGUUUGGGUGUACAAACCCUUACGCGGAAUGAAAGUAAAUGGAGGUGGGAACCGCAAGGUGCACCAUCGACCGAUCCUGAUGUUUUCGGAUGGAUUUGAGUAGGAGCAUAGCUGUUGGGACCCGAAAGAUGGUGAACUAUGCCUGA